GGGUCGGUGGCGUAGUUGGUUAUCGCAUCUGUCUAACACACAUAAGGUCCUCAGUUCGACCCUGGGCCGACUCA
rnacentral:tRNA from 1 species